rnacentral:misc_RNA from 1 species
AACACUGUGUGAGCGCCAACAUUGAACAAUCUGUAUCUUUUAUAGGAAAGUGUUCUACGUGCUAACGAGAUAUACUAACGUGAUAUAGAAUUUAAAUGCAAUCUUCCUUUCUAAAUAGUUACCAAUGAUGUCACAAUAGAAAUAUUAAAAUAUUAAGCACCAAUGAACAUUAGUUGAUUGUUUCUUGGCUUUUGUCUAUAUCGUCUGCUUAAAUGAAUGAAAUAUUGAGUUUUCUUUACAAAUAAGGGACACCUCUGUCAUAUAUGGGCUUUUCUAUAGACUUUUUUUUUAUGAAUUUCGUUGCAGGCAGACACAUGUCGCAGACAAACAGCAUCUUUCCUGCAAAAUCCACGGACGACGGGAGACAACAUUUAA